UGCCACAGGGAAGUGCUUGAGAAUUGGCUUCGAAAGCCCAGGAGCUGGGGCGGUGGGGCGGUAGGGCAGGCCGUCCUCUGUGAACAAUUAGCCUCAGCAUCACCCAGUGAUUCUUCUCUCUCUCUUUCUUUCGGCUGCGCCCGUGGCAUAUGGAAGUUCCCAGGGCAAAUCACGGCCCCGCCACAGCAGCGACCCAACCCAAGGUGCUGUGCUACAGGGAUAACCCCAGUUCCUUAGUCUACUGCACCACGGGGACGUGUUCAAGCCUCACGCUGGACCUGGUGAAUCAGAAUCUGGGGAGACAGGCUCCCAGCGUGGUCCUGAAAAAGUCCGUCUGGACCGCUUACCACUUGGAGUUGAUACUGUCUGGUGCGGUGAAGAAUAGAUGAGAUGAUAUCUGAAAAACUGCCUCAUGAUGCACUUAGUAUGCCCUCAACACAUGAUAGGUGUCUUAUCAAUAAAUAUGAUUACAUCACUAGGAGGACUGGAAAC
rnacentral:lncRNA from 1 species